UCCGGUAUGGUGUAACGGCUAACAUUGCCGCCUUUCACAGUUAGUGAAGCACCGCGGCAGCUCGGGGUUCGAUUCCCCGUACCGGAG